rnacentral:rRNA from 1 species
GCGCUAAUGGAUGAGCCUACGUCGGAUUAGCUAGUUGGUAGGGUAACGGCCUACCAAGGCGACGAUCCGUAGCUGGUCUGAGAGGACGAUCAGCCACACUGGGACUGAGACACGGCCCAG